rnacentral:rRNA from 1 species
CCAGACUCCUACGGGAGGCAGCAGUGAGGAAUAUUGGUCAAUGGGCGGGAGCCUGAACCAGCCAAGCCGCGUGAGGGAAGAAGGUACAGCGUAUCGUAAACCUCUUUUGUCAGGGAACAAAGGCGGGGACUAGUCCCCGGAUGAGGGUACCUGAAGAAAAAGCAUCGGCUAACUCCGUGCCAGCAGCCGCGGUAAUACGGAGGAUGCGAGCGUUAUCCGGAUUUAUUGGGUUUAAAGGGUGCGCAGGCGGCACGGCAAGCCGGCGGUCAAAUCGCGGGGCUCAACCCCGCCCAGCCGUCGGAACUGCCGGGCUAGAGUGGGCGAGAAGUGCGCGGAAUGCGUGGUGUAGCGGUGAAAUGCUUAGAGAUCAUACAGAACACCGAUUGCGAAGGCAGCUUACCAAACUAUAUCUGACGUUGAGGCACGAAAGCGUGGGUAGCAAACAGGAUUAGAUACCCCAGUA